rnacentral:tRNA from 1 species
CGGGGUGUAGCGCAGCUAGGUAGCGCACCUGAACGGGGUUCAGGUGGUCGCCGGUUCAAAUCCUCUCACCCCAACCA